GACGAACGCUGGCGGCGUGCUUAACACAUGCAAGUCGAACGAUGAAGCCGGAGCUUGCUCUGGUGAAUUAGUGGCGAACGGGUGAGUAACACGUGAGUAACCUGCCCUUGACUCUGGGAUAACUGCUAGAAAUGGUAGCUAAUACCGGAUACGACCCUCGGAGGCAUCUCCAGGGGGUGGAAAGAAUUUCGGUCAAGGAUGGACUCGCGGCCUAUCAGCUAGUUGGUGAGGUAACGGCUCACCAAGGCGACGACGGGUAGCCGGCCUGAGAGGGUGACCGGCCACACUGGGACUGAGACACAGCCCAGACUCCUACGGGAGGCAGCAGUGGGGAAUAUGGCACAAUGGGCGCAAGCCUGAUGCAGCAACGCCGCGUGAGGGAUGACGGCCUUCGGGUUGUAAACCUCUUUUAGUAGGGAAGAAGCGAAAGUGACGGUACCUGCAGAAAAAGCACCGGCUAACUACGUGCCAGCAGCCGCAGUAA
rnacentral:rRNA from 1 species